rnacentral:rRNA from 1 species
AGCGGCGAGCGAACGGGGAGCAGCCCAGAGCCUGAAUCAGUGUGUGUGUUAGUGGAAGCGUCUGGAAAGGCGCGCGAUACAGGGUGACAGCCCCGUACACAAAAAUGCACAUGCUGUGAGCUCGAUGAGUAGGGCGGGACACGUGGUAUCCUGUCUGAAUAUGGGGGGACCAUCCUCCAAGGCUAAAUACUCCUGACUGACCGAUAGUGAACCAGUACCGUGAGGGAAAGGCGAAAAGAACCCCGGCGAGGGGAGUGAAAAAGAACCUGAAACCGUGUACGUACAAGCAGUGGGAGCACGCUUAGGCGUGUGACUGCGUACCUUUUGUAUAAUGGGUCAGCGACUUAUAUUCUGUAGCAAGGUUAACCGAAUAGGGGAGCCGAAGGGAAACCGAGUCUUAACUGGGCGUUAAGUUGCAGGGUAUAGACCCGAAACCCGGUGAUCUAGCCAUGGGCAGGUUGAAGGUUGGGUAACACUAACUGGAGGACCGAACCGACUAAUGUUGAAAAAUUAGCGGAUGACUUGUGGCUGGGGGUGAAAGGCCAAUCAAACCGGGAGAUAGCUGGUUCUCCCCGAAAGCUAUUUAGGUAGCGCCUCGUGAAUUCAUCUCCGGGGGUAGAGCACUGUUUCGGCAAGGGGGUCAUCCCGACUUACCAACCCGAUGCAAACUGCGAAUACCGGAGAAUGUUAUCACGGGAGACACACGGCGGGUGCUAACGUCCGUCGUGAAGAGGGAAACAACCCAGACCGCCAGCUAAGGUCCCAAAGUCAUGGUUAAGUGGGAAACGAUGUGGGAAGGCCCAGACAGCCAGGAUGUUGGCUUAGAAGCAGCCAUCAUUUAAAGAAAGCGUAAUAGCUCACUGGUCGAGUCGGCCUGCGCGGAAGAUGUAACGGGGCUAAACCAUGCACCGAAGCUGCGGCAGCGACGCUUAUGCGUUGUUGGGUAGGGGAGCGUUCUGUAAGCCUGUGAAGGUGUGCUGUGAGGCAUGCUGGAGGUAUCAGAAGUGCGAAUGCUGACAUAAGUAACGAUAAAGCGGGUGAAAAGCCCGCUCGCCGGAAGACCAAGGGUUCCUGUCCAACGUUAAUCGGGGCAGGGUGAGUCGACCCCUAAGGCGAGGCCGAAAGGCGUAGUCGAUGGGAAACAGGUUAAUAUUCCUGUACUUGGUGUUACUGCGAAGGGGGGACGGAGAAGGCUAUGUUGGCCGGGCGACGGUUGUCCCGGUUUAAGCGUGUAGGCUGGUUUUCC